GUGGGGAAUAUUGGACAAUGGGCGAAAGCCUGAUCCAGCAACGCCGCGUGAGUGAUGAAGGCCCUCGGGUUGUAAAGCUCUGUCAGAGGGAACGAAUAAAGACGGUCGAAUAGGCCGUCCGAUGACGGUACUCUCAAAGGAAGCACCGGCUAACUCUGUGCCAGCAGCCGCGGUAAGACAGAGGGUGCAAGCGUUGUUCGGAAUUACUGGGCGUAAAGGGCGUGUAGGCGGCAAGGUGUGUCCGGUGUGAAAUCCCUCGGCUCAACCGGGGAAUUGCAUUGGAAACUACCUAGCUAGAGUGCGAUAGAGGGUGGCGGAAUUCCUAGUGUAGAGGUGAAAUUCGUAGAUACUAGGAGGAACACCGGGAGCGAAGGCGGCUACCUGGCUCGCAACUGACGCUGAGACGCGAAAGCGUGGGGAGCAAACAGGAUUAGAUACCCCAGUAGUCC
rnacentral:rRNA from 1 species